UAACGGAGCUAAAAGGGGAAGGAUCAUUA
rnacentral:rRNA from 1 species